GCCAACACAUAUUAUAUUCCAUAUAUAUAUAUAGAAUAAAUAUAUCUGUGUUUAUUAUAUAUAUCUGUGGUGUAUAAUAUAGAUAAAUUGUGAUAAUAAUUCAUAAUAUUUGAUAAUGUGCAACAAUUAAUAUUUACUUAGUUGAUGUAAACAAAACAAAGUAUUGUCGACGAAAUUUCGAAAUAUGACUAAUGUCCAAUAAAAUACAACAAAAUAUUAUUUUACGAUCAAUAAUUUAAAUAAUUUAAUACAUAUCAUUAAAUAAUAACUUUUUAAACGGAAAUUUAAGUUUUCUUAAUAAAUCAUAUAAGUUAUCAAGAAUUAUAAAAUAUGUCAAAAAUUGAGAAGAAAAAACAAGAAUUCAAUGUGGAAAUAAACCAAAAUCGUAUUAAUUACUUGUAUCAAUUAAGUACAGUUCUAGCUGAGCAAUGUCCUGGCUUAUCAUCAACAUAUAACUCUAUACUGAAAGGUUUAUCACAAAAAAGUUUACUAAGAGUUGAUCCAGAAAUGAAAAGAAAUAUCUGUAAGGGUUGUGAUACUAUGCUUAUACCAGGAAAAACUGUAACAUGUCGUACAAUAAAAAAGACCAAAGGUACAAUUAAAUGGUCAUGUAAUUUUUGUGGAAAGUCAAAGACAUUUAGAAAAAAUAACAAUAAUUGCACGUGGUCGGAAAAUCCUGAUUUUUUGUUACAAACUAUUAUUUAUGAUUAAUAAAAUAAAAUAAUGUUUUACCUGUUAA